GGGACUGAACCCAGAACCAUGUGGUUAGGAAGUAAGCUUCUUACCACACAGCUACGAUCCCCAAGGCUAAUAUAUACCCCGGUUGAGGACCACUGGUGUAGACAAUCCUUCCCUGACUCAUUUUGUUGAUGUUGAGCGUACUCCCAGAUGAGCUGUGAACAAAUAAACCUAUAAUCAAAAAGCACCCCUGUUAUUACCAUUCCGUUUAAAAUUCAGCAUGGUAUCUCAGAUUGUGUUCUCAGAUGCCUCCCCAUUUUUAUCCCCAAGACAGCAUGUCUGAUUUAAGGGCGAUUUCGUUACUAUUUCUAGCAGUUCGAGCGGCCACAUAGAGGCUCCUUCUCUCCGUCUCGUUUUUGUUUAUUGUCGGUUCAGAUUAUGUACAAGUAUCAAUGUUCUUUAGAAUAAUAAUGUAGUCGCGUUGUAUAAAUAAAUAAAGUAUAUUAUUCUAUUUGGCUCAGCCAAAUAAAUUAUUGCUUCUACUUCACAGCUGAAUGGUUGACGUUAGAAAGGGUAUCCAGCUGUAAAAAAAAAAACCCACGCGCA